GGAUAUGGCUCAGUGUGUAGAGCACUUGCCUAGCAUGCAAGGAGCCCUGGGUUUGAUCCUCAGCAAAGCUU
rnacentral:tRNA from 1 species